UUACAGUCUUGGUGAGUUCUGGAGCUAC
rnacentral:piRNA from 1 species